rnacentral:rRNA from 1 species
AUCUACAGCUACACCACCCUGAACAUACCUGAUCUCAUUUCAUCUCAGAAGCUAAGCAGGGUUGGACCUGGCUAAUACUUGGAUGGAAGUUCAUGAAUUAUAAUAUGUAUAGAUG